GGUAGAGGCAAUGCACCUGAGUAACUGGAAGGGGUGGAUCCUGGCUCCACCCCUUCCCAGACCUCAUUUAAGGGUUGGCAGUGGAGGUGAGGGUAUUUCUGGUUGGAGAUCCUUGACUACCUGAGGCUUUCUAAAGUGCCAAAUUUGGAAUCAUCAUGCCACAAUGGUGUUGCUGCAGAACUGAUGCUUCUACUCCAUUCGCUGCAGCAAGACAUUCGGAGAUGAGGCCCUGAGGUCAGCUUUAACCUAAAUCUGGUCGCUCCUCAAGGAGAGCUCUGAAGAAAAUUAAGCUAUAGGGGAACUUGGGACUACAUGGUAUGUUGGAUGCUGAUUUUGCCUGUUACUCAUGACUUGAGAUUCAACAUAUUGUUAAGGGAGCAACUUUAUUAGGAAGAAAACAUUGCUUUAAUUGCUCAGACAAGCAACAAGGUGGAUUCCGUGCAUUGUUUUGGGUUUUUUUGUAAGGACACUCUCUGCUUUGCGAACUUCUUGGACAUACUACUUGUUUCUUUAAACCCAAAUAAAUUCCUUUUAAGAAGAGUUCUAAUUUCACCAUAUUACUGCUUAAUUUUUUUUUUAACUUAGAAAAUGAAAAACUUCUUUGUUAAAUAGGUGUUAGAUGUCCGGACUUUAAAGUAAUAUUCAUUUUUACUGAAGGCUUGCAUGUUGCAUUGUUUAGAUGGAAAAUCUAAUGAUAGAAAAUAGGCUGUUUCUAGCAAUGUCUAGCUAAAAUGUCUAGCUAAAAAUGUCUAGCAAAAUCUAGAAACCUGCAACCAAAUAUGUCUGGACUAUUGCUACCCUCAGGACACUGGAACUUCAUGCUAAAAUACUUUCAUUUAUAAUCUCAUUUUAACACCUGGCUCUAUUCCAUUGUUUUGAGUGAUACAAAAUCAGUAGGUACACAUUUUCCAUAACUCUAAGGUUCCUGGAGUUUAGGCUAACCCUGUCAGUAGAAGUUGAAAGGACGUAACAUUUUGCUCUAAGAACUGGCAGCCUGUUUGCUGUUGUUGCUUGUGUUCAGAUAUCAUACAAAGGGUACCACUAGAGUAGCUCUGAUUUUCUUAGUAGCCAAUGUUUUCACUUGCUGCAUUUUGCUCUCCUC
rnacentral:lncRNA from 1 species